rnacentral:lncRNA from 1 species
ACUGUCACCCUCAUUGAGAAGCAGGCACGGAUUGUGGUGAAGCCCAGGAUGGUGUCACAAGAGGGAAAACAGAGGAAAGCGGCCCUGCUGGCCCUGGGUGCUGAGGUCACAGGUGAAGAGGAUGAAGCAGAUGAGAGGAUGAUUCAGGUGCCACCAGGAUGAACACCGGUUCUCAGAAAUCUCUGUUUCGAAUCACCAAUGUAGAAGAUGUCCUCCAUGCUCAGAAAUUGGAGAAAGCUUCACUUUGGAAUGAGUCCCAAAGGAAGGAGGAACAGGACAAGCUGCAGCGGGAAAGAGACAAAUUAGCCAAGCAGGAGAGCAAAGAAAAGGACACAAGAGAGGGGAGCGAAAGCGAUGACCCUGGGCUGUUGGGUUCUUCCCCUGCUUCAAGAACUUGACAAAUCGGAAAACUGGUUGUGCAUAUGUAUAUUUAGGAGAAAUGAGAGAACAAUGCAUAGUGAUUUCCCAAGGCAUUUCCCUUUAUGUUUACAUAGUCAAAAGGAAAAUCACCACCGCUUCUCAUUACAAAGUGUGUCAUGUUUUGGUGAUGUGGGUGAUCAGAUGAUUAUAGUUGAUGUCUGUGCCAAAGAGCUGCAAUUGGGGCAAUCUUUAUAUUUCAAUACUGAAGUCCUGUGCUCCUUUUGGCACCUUUUAUAUAAAAUACCUUCUCUCACCUUGGAUAAAGUUUUCCUUGGAUGAAUAGCACGAUUCAGAAAGCUAACAGUUACACUUUUCAUUUGGGAGAAGAAACAUGACCAUUCCUCUGAGAUUGAAAAGUGCAAGUACAAAUUGCUUCAGAGGAAAUAUUUAUUCUUAAAUGUCGUAUAGUUUAUGGCUGAUGUAUAAAGCUAAUAAGGAAGCCAGAUGGGGUGGUGCACACCUUUAAUCCCAGCCCUCUAGGGAGACUGAGGCAGAAGGAUCACAAAUUUGAGGCCAGCUUGGGCAACAUAUC